UAGAGGCAGGGGAGUAAAGGACAUCUUGAAAGUUCGGGGACUCAGUGCAGCCAGUUCUUAUGAUUUUAUUGCAUGUCUUGCAAUAUUUGUACCUUUUCUUAAAGCCCCAGCUCCUGGAUUCAUGUGACUACCUGAGAAUCUUUCAUUAAAAAAAAAACCCAGUAAGUUUCUAGGAAGGGUGGGGGUGGGCUUUCUAGGGCCAGCUCCCUUCUCCCUUUGCUUCUGGCAGCAAGAUCUCCAGCUACCUGCACCUUUUCUUGCACAGGCUCCCCAUCAGGGCCAGCUUCGGCUGCUGUGGCUGCUGGGAACAGAGGAUUUUUGAGAUGUUGCCAGAGGCAGCCUGGGCACUACGUGGAAAUUUGACCCCUUGCUGUCAGACACGGGGAGUGUGAGUGGUAAGGAGUAGCUGAUGGCCAGAUGGCAAGGAGGCUAACAGGGAGUAGCUGAGAGUACGCUUGCCCUGGUUUAACUUUAGAGCUGCCCCUGCAGGACCCUUCUCUACAAGCAGGUUAUUUCAUCAUAGUGAUUCUACCAUCCUCCUCUGAAGCAUCUUCUACAGGAUGCCAGACUAGGUGGAGCAUUAGUCUGAUCUGGUGCAGCAGUUCCCAGGAAAGAAAAACAGACCCCAGAAAUUAAGCACAAUGAAAUUAAAGAUCUCCAUCUAAGUAACGUGCUAAAAGCACCAAUGUCACGUCUACCUUUAUUAGUCUCUUCCCCCUCUUCUGCUGUCUUGAGGAUAGACCGAAGGAUGAUGCUUUCUGCCCUUUGCAGGAUGUCAUCCAAAUGGCUUCUAUCUCCAUUCUCGUUUGCCUCUGGAAUGGGCUGCCCCAGACUGACACAGACACUGGAGAAAGUCAGGGAGAGCAGCAGCAGCCGGACGGAUGUCAUUGUGGGAGAGAAGUUCCUGCAACUUUCAUCGGAAAGUAAAGGACAAGGGAGGGCAAUGGAACAAAACCAACAACAAUUACAACGUUCCCGGUAACUCAGGAAGCAGCCUGGGAAAGUAGAAAGCAUUCAAGCGCUCUGUGCUGCUGCAGAGACUGGAGUUUGUCAAGGAAAUGAUUUCCUGUCCCUUUUUAAAUUUUCUGACCGCUCUCUCACUUUGUUUUGAAGUGCUCCAAAGAAUUUGUAAAUUCUUUGUAGGUAAUGUUGAGGGCAAGUUUACGUUCUGGACAGAACAGCUAUUUGGGUUUUAAAUGUCAUAUAAAUUUAGCAUUUUAAUAUUUUUUUAUCAGACUAGAAUAGUCUUCCCUUUUGAAACUGUUAGCCUAUUGUUUUGUAUUUUACACAUGCAUGUAUACCUGCCCCAGGGACUGCUUUCAUUAAAUAACUCCCUCUCUGAAACUAAAGGACUGCUUUAAAAUAA